rnacentral:rRNA from 1 species
GACUAUCCGGAUAUUCUUUCCCUCACAUGAGGGAAAGCUGAAAGAUGGUUUCGGCUAUCACUUACAGAUGGGCCCGCGGCGCAUUAGCUAGAUUGGUGAGGUAACGGCUCACCAAGGCAACGAUGCGUAGCCGACCUGAGAGGGUGAUCGGCCACACUGGGACUGAGACACGGCCCAGACUCCUACGGGAGGCAGCAGUAGGGAAUCUUCCGCAAUGGACGAAAGUCUGACGGAGCACCCGCGUGAGUGAUGAAGGUUUUCGGAUCGUAAAACUCUGUUGUUAGGGAAGAACAAGUACCGGAGUAACUGCCGGUACCUUGACGGUACCUAACCAGAAGGCCACGGGCUAACUACGUGCCAGCAGCCGCGGUAAUACGUAGGUGGCAAGCGUUGUCCGGAAUUAUUGGGCGUAAAGCGCGCGCAGGCGGUUCCUUAAGUCUGAUGUGAAAGCCCACGGCUCAACCGUGGAGGGUCAUUGGAAACUGGGGAACUUGAGUGCAGAAGAGAAGAGUGGAAUUCCACGUGUAGCGGUGAAAUGCGUAGAGAUGUGGAGGAACACCAGUGGCGAAGGCGACUUUCUGGUCUGUAACUGACGCUGAUGUGCGAAAGCGUGGGGAUCAAACAGGAUUAGAUACCCUGGUAGUCCACGCCGUAAACGAUGAGUGCUAAGUGUUAGGGGGUUUCCGCCCCUUAGUGCUGCAGCUAACGCAUUAAGCACUCCGCCUGGGGAGUACGACCGCAAGGUUGAAACUCAAAGGAAUUGACGGGGACCCGCACAAGCGGUGGGGCAUGUGGUUUAAUUCGAAGCAACGCGAAGAACCUUACCAAAUCUUGACAUCCUUUGACUGCUCUAGAGAUAGAGUCUUCCCCUUCGGGGGACAAAGUGACAGGUGGUGCAUGGUUGUCGUCAGCUCGUGUCGUGAGAUGUUGGGUUAAGUCCCGCAACGAACGCAACCCUUAAGCUUAGUUGCCAUCAUUAAGUUGGGCACUCUAAGUUGACUGCCGGUGACAAACCGGAGGAAGGUGGGGAUGACGUCAAAUCAUCAUGCCCCUUAUGAUUUGGGCUACACACGUGCUACAAUGGACAA